rnacentral:rRNA from 1 species
GACGAACGCUGGCGGCGUGCUUAACACAUGCAAGUCGAACGGAAAGGCCCUGCUUUUGUGGGGUGCUCGAGUGGCGAACGGGUGAGUAACACGUGAGUAACCUGCCCUUGACUUUUGGAUAACUUCAGGAAACUGGGGCUAAUACCGGAUAGGAGCUCCUGCUGCAUGGUGGGGGUUGGAAAGUUUCGGCGGUUGGGGAUGGACUCGCGGCUUAUCAGCUUGUUGGUGGGGUAGUGGCUUACCAAGGCUUUGACGGGUAGCCGGCCUGAGAGGGUGACCGGCCACAUUGGGACUGAGAUACGGCCCAGACUCCUACGGGAGGCGGCAGUGGGGAAUAUUGCACAAUGGGCGGAAGCCUGAUGCAGCAACGCCGCGUGCGGGAUGACGGCCUUCGGGUUGUAAACCGCUUUCGCCUGUGACGAAGCGUGAGUGACGGUAAUGGGUAAAGAAGCACCGGCUAACUACG